UCCCCGAACAGGACUCGAACCUGUGACAACUCGAUUAACAGUCGAGUGCGCACUCGACUGUUAAUCGAGUUGUCACAGGUUCGAGUCCUGUUCGGGGAGCCA
rnacentral:tRNA from 1 species